rnacentral:rRNA from 1 species
GCGCGUGCUAUACUUGCAAGUCGAGCGGACAGAAGGGAGCUUGCUCCCGGAUGUAGCGGCGGACGGGUGAGUAACACGUGGGUAACUGCCUGUAAGACUGGGAUAACUCCGGGAAACCGGAGCUAAUACCGGAUAGUUCCCUGAACCGCAUGGUUCAAGGAUGAAAGACGGUUUCGGCUGUCACUUACAGAUGGACCGCGGCGCAUAGCUAGUUGGUGGGGUAAUGGCUCACCAAGGCGACGAUGCGUAGCCGACCUGAGAGGGUGAUCGGCCACACUGGGACUGAGACACGGCCCAGACUCCUACGGGAGGCAGCAGUAGGGAAUCUUCCGCAAUGGACGAAAGUCUGACGGAGCAACGCCGCGUGAGUGAUGAAGGUUUUCGGAUCGUAAAGCUCUGUUGUUAGGGAAGAACAAGUGCGAGAGUAACUGCUCGCACCUUGACGGUACCUAACCAGAAAGCCACGGCUAACUACGUGCCAGCAGCCGCGGUAAUACGUAGGUGGCAAGCGUUGUCCGGAAUUAUUGGGCGUAAAGGGCUCGCAGGCGGUUUCUUAAGUCUGAUGUGAAAGCCCCCGGCUCAACCGGGGAGGGUCAUUGGAAACUGGGAAACUUGAGUGCAGAAGAGGAGAGUGGAAUUCCACGUGUAGCGGUGAAAUGCGUAGAGAUGUGGAGGAACACCAGUGGCGAAGGCGACUCUCUGGUCUGUAACUGACGCUGAGGAGCGAAAGCGUGGGGAGCGAACAGGAUUAGAUACCCUGGUAGUCCACGCCGUAAACGAUGAGUGCUAAGUGUUAGGGGGUUUCCGCCCCUUAGUGCUGCAGCUAACGCAUUAAGCACUCCGCCUGGGGAGUACGGUCGCAAGACUGAAACUCAAAGGAAUUGACGGGGGCCCGCACAAGCGGUGGAGCAUGUGGUUUAAUUCGAAGCAACGCGAAGAACCUUACCAGGUCUUGACAUCCUCUGACAACCCUAGAGAUAGGGCUUUCCCUUCGGGGACAGAGUGACAGG